rnacentral:ncRNA from 1 species
GUGGGCUCUGCUCGCUGAUCCGAUGAUUCAUGAUAACUCGACGGAUCGCAUGGCCUUUGUGCCGGCGACGCAUCAUUCAAAUUUCGUCCCUAUCAACUUUCGAUGGUAGGAUAGGGGCCUACCAUGGUGGUGACGGGUGACGGAGAAUUAGGGUUCGAUUCCGGAGAGGGAGCCUGAGAAACGGCUACCACAUCCAAGGAAGGCAGCAGG